rnacentral:lncRNA from 1 species
CAAGGUCCAGGUGUUAUUUGCUGCCAAAGCCUCAAAUUCUUUGGCCAUGGCAUCCUGCCAAGAAGGAUCAGAGGCUGUCUGCUUGUAUGAUGUAGGCUCAACCAGUGCAGUGCUAACAAUGCUAUUGCAGCAAGUGGAAAAAGAACCGAUGCCAGAAAUGGAAGGAGGGAGGUCACAGAUGUAUUGAUUAAGAUGAGCAGGAGUGGUGUGGU